AUUGAACGCUGGCGGCAUGCCUUACACAUGCAAGUCGAACGGCAGCACGGGAGCAAUCCUGGUGGCGAGUGGCGAACGGGUGAGUAAUACAUCGGAACGUGUCCGGUAGUGGGGGAUAGCCCGGCGAAAGCCGGAUUAAUACCGCAUACGACCUACGGGUGAAAGCGGGGGAUCGCAAGACCUCGCGCUAUCGGAGCGGCCGAUGUCAGAUUAGCUAGUUGGUGGGGUAAAGGCCACCAAGGCGACGAUCUGUAGCUGGUCUGAGAGGACGACCAGCCACACUGGGACUGAGACACGGCCCAGACUCCUACGGGAGGCAGCAGGUGGGGAAUUUUGGACAAUGGGCGCAAGCCUGAUCCAGCCAUGCCGCGUGAGU
rnacentral:rRNA from 1 species